AUCUUAUCGAGAGAGGUGGAGGGACUGGCCCUGUGAAACCUCAGCAACCGGCUAUCGCCAAGGUGCUAAAUCCAGCAAGCUCGUGCUUGGUAGAUGAGGA
rnacentral:ncRNA from 1 species